GUGUCCUGCCUCACUACAGAAACAGGAGAUUGACUAGUGUCCUGCCUCACACUACAGAAACAGGAGAUUGACUAGUGUCCUGCCUCACACUACAGAAACAGGAGAUAGACUAGCAUCCUGCCUCACUACAGAAACAGGCGAUAGACUAGCGUCCUGCCUCACACUACAGAAACAGGAGAUAGACUAGCAUCCUGCCUCACUACAGAAACAGGAGAUUGACUAGUGUCCUGCCUCACACUACAGAAACAGGAGAUAGACUAGCAUCCUGCCUCACUACAGAAACAGGCGAUAGACUAGCGUCCUGCCUCACACUACAGAAACAGGCGAUAGACUAGCGUCCUGCCUCACACUACAGAAACAGGAGAUUGACUAGUGUCCUGCCUCACACUACAGAAACAGGAGAUUGACUAGUGUCCUGCCUCACACUACAGAAACAGGAGAUUGACUAGUGUCCUGCCUCACACUACAGAAACAGGAGAUUGACUAGUGUCCUGCCUCACACUACAGAAACAGGAGAUAGACUAGCAUCCUGCCUCACUACAGAAACAGGCGAUAGACUAGCGUCCUGCCUCACACUACAGAAACAGGAGAUAGACUGGCAUCCUGCCUCACUACAGAAACAGGAGAUUGACUAGUGUCCUGCCUCACACUACAGAAACAGGAGAAACAGAGCCAACCUUUCUGACUCUGACGAGGCUGACUUACCACACAGGUAAUAUUGGGUCAUUUGAGUCUCAUACUGUGUGUUAGUGGAUGGGGACGGUCUACUGUGUGUUAGCGGAUGGGGACGGUCUACUGUUUGUUAGCGGAUGGGGACGGUCUACUGUGUGUUAGUGGAUGGGGACAUGAACAAAGACCAAACCUGUCUGUGGUGAUCUGAUCCUCUGUCUGUCUGCAUACCUUUCUGUCUCUGUGUUGUUUGGGUUAAACUAGUCAGUCAGUACCUACCAAUUAGAAUCACCAAGGUCAUUAGAGAUCAGUCAAACUGAAAUGUUGUGUAGAGUGGAAGGUAGGCAUGUGUACUACAUCAUACACAACAUGUGUACUACAUCAUACACAACAUGUGUAGAGUGGAAAGUUAACGUGUACUACAUCAUCAUACCUCUGCCUUUUACAUCUGUAAACAGGAAGUGAUAUCAGCAGCAUUUAAACAGUACUGUCCUUCAUUUCAGGUCUUCAGUCAUUUCAGAACAAGAACAACGAAGAUAAACCGCGAAAAACAGCCUAAACGUUAUUAUCUGUAUCUGAAGGCCAAACUAGAUUUUUAACGUCGGGAAUAUUCUUAGAUACUUUGCCGUAACAGGGAAAAUAAAAACCUAAAAUGCAUUUAAACUGAACAAUAAAAAUGUGUAAAUCAUACCUCUGCAUGUCUCGGUGCAUUUUGACAUCUGACCCUAUGAAAUCUCACAGUUUCAACUUGAAUUGUAAGGGGAUGUGUAGUGUGUAGUGUGUGUACACUGAGUGGGACAAACAUUAAGAACACCUGCUCUUUUCAUGACAGACUGCCCAGGUGAAUCCAGGUGAAAACUAUGGUCCCUUAUUGAUGUCACUUGUUAAAUCCACUUCUAUCACUGUAAAUGAAGGGGGAGGAGACAGGUUAGAGAAGGAUGUUUAAGCCUUGAGACAUGGAUUGUGUAUGUGUGCCAUUCAGAGGGGGAAUUGGCAAGACAAAAUAUUGAGGUGCCAGAGGGUUUGUGUCAAAGAACUACAACGCUGCUGGGUUUUUAACGCUCAACAGUUUCCUUUGUGAACGGUCCACCACCCAAAGGACACCCAGCCAACUUGACACAACUGUGGGAAGCGUUGGAGUCAACGUGGGCCAGUAUCCCUGUGGAACGCUUUCAACAACUUGUAGAGUCCAAGCCCCGAUGAAUUGAGGCUGUUCUGAGGGGAAAAGGGGAGGGGGGUUCAACUCAAUAUCAGGAAGGUGUUCUUAAUGUUUUGUACUCUCAGUGUAGGUUAAUAUUGAACCUACUGGUUAUUUACCAGCAAAUCACCAGGACCUGGAAAGACCGCUUCUCCCUCCUCCCUCUCAAGCUGUAGUGGUAGAGAACAUCAUUGGUAGCAAUUUUGCAGAGGACCUUGGUGUUGAGGCCUUUAUUUGACACGUUGAGCGAAUUCAGAUGAUCAAACCUACCCGCCAGGUAGUCAACCUGUGCGAUCCGUUCCUCAGUGGCGGGUUUAGGUAGAGGCAGACGCCCAGGGCGGCACAAAGGUGCCCGCACAAAAAAAAAACUAAAAAUAACAUUCCUAAUGGUGACAUUUGCGAGAUCGGUUUUCUAUCGCUCAUUUUCACGUUACACCAAUGAUAGGAUGUCACCGUGUGGGACGGUGGGUCAAUAAACCUUGUCGAAGUGGGUAAUAUUCAUAUGUAAACAAAGUGAAUUGUAAUUGGAUGCAUUUUACCGCCAUAUCAUACUGUGCUAUGAUUGGUUAAGACCACCCAGACGGUUAGGUCAUGGUCACUUUGAUCCUGGUUGGCGAUACGUGAACAUGCCAGCUAUAGCUAGCUAAUAAAGAGCUACGUUAAGAAAUAUCCUGUCG
ensembl:lncRNA